CUUGGCCAUGCAUAGAGGGAGGCAGCGAUCCAGCAGACCCUACCUACCCGUGCUCCUCUCUGUGGGAGUACACCGGUAUCCUGUGCGUGACGGAGGAGGAAGGCAUAAUUCAAAACCAAGGUUACCAUGCACUGGAACCAAGGUUCAAAUCAAGAUCUUCAAGGCAAUCCAGUUCCAUUCUCUUAUUGAGAUGUCCCUUGACAGUCUAAUACAGGCUCCCACACCAGCAUUGCAGGCUUGAAACCUAAGAGCCCAACCCAGGACAGGCAUUCGGUGAAGACCAGCUUGGUUGAACUGCACCAUCUCACUUUCUUCCCCAGAAGAAUAUAAUCUCAGCUUCAAAGGGCACCAUUCCGCCCUGAAUCGAAGGGAGCUUGAAGAGAAAGCCUAGAAGCUUCUUCAGCGGAGACAAGGGACUGAAGAUUCUACCUCGAAAGUCACGUCUGCAGCAUAUCCAACUUUCUCCCUUUCCUCUCUAGUCCAAGCCACCAACAUCUCCGUAACCAGACUGUGAAGGGUUCACCUUUCCUGCUUGCCUUCCA